AGAACAAUAUUUUAAAUCCAAAAAAUUAACUUUGCAUGUUAAAAUUAUAAUACUUAUUUGUUUUG
rnacentral:tRNA from 1 species